rnacentral:rRNA from 1 species
CGAACCGAGCGAACGUUGUUCGGAAUCACUGGGCUUAAAGGGUGCGUAGGCGGGCUGCCAGGUUUGGGGUGAAAUCCUCCGGCUCAACCGGGGAAGUGCCUUGAAUACUGGCGGUCUCGAGGGAGGUAGGGGCGUGCGGAACUAACGGUGGAGCGGUGAAAUGCGUUGAUAUCGUUAGGAACUCCGGUGGCGAAGGCGGCACGCUGGACCUCUUCUGACGCUGAGGCACGUAAGCCAGGGGAGCGAACGGGAUUAGAUACCCCGGUAGUCCUGGCCCUAAACGUUGAGAACUAGGUAGUAGGCCGGACAUGGGCUUACUGCCGGAGCAAAAGUGCUAAGUUCUCCGCCUGGGGAGUAUGGUCGCAAGGCUG